GGGUGACGAAAAGCUUUAAACCCCCCCACACACACACGUAGGCAAGAAUUAAGAGAAAGACAAGAGGGUCCUCGGGCCCACCUGGGCUCUGCCUGCUGCAUUCUGUCUUACAGAUAUCCACCAUGGAGUUGAGCUUCCACCAUGUAAAAGAGAUGAAGAGCACGCUCAGAAAACAUGGGCAGGACACACAUACAGCAGUAAAUUCAGAUCCACCUGAAUGGGCUUUGAGCAGGAGUUUGGCAUUCUCAACCUGGGAUUCAGGUGUUGGCCUGAGAUUGGUGGCAUGUUACCGUACACCUCUGACAAGGUUAGCAGGAUGUUCCAGGUAUGUUUAUGCUACACAGCAUUGCCAUGAUCCUUGCCUGAGGGGGAAGACAUACAUGAAAUACGGAGCCCUGAAAAGAAGAGGACAUAGGAGCUGUGAGGCUCAGGAGGACAUAAGCAUGCUGGACCAGGAAGAUGAUGGAGCAAGGACACCAGCUAGUGUUCCCUGAGGCCCCCUCAGAGACAGUUUGAUAGUCAAGACAAGAUCGCUGAAACUGCAACUUUUUCUGAGCAGGGCCUUGAAUCUACACAGAGUGCGCCACUGAUUCCAAGCCCAGGGAUCUACCCGUGCUAAAUAAAUUGCAGGAUUGGGGCCUAAAGUCUGUUUAA
rnacentral:lncRNA from 1 species